GUAGGUGGCAAGCGUUGUCCGGAAUUAUUGGGCGUAAAGCGCGCGCAGGGCGGUCCUUUAAGUCUGAUGUGAAAGCCCACGGCUCAACCGUGGAGGGUCAUUGGAAACUGGGGGACUUGAGUACAGAAGAGGAAAGCGGAAUUCCAAGUGUAGCGGUGAAAUGCGUAGAGAUUUGGAGGAACACCAGUGGCGAAGGCGGCUUUCUGGUCUGUAACUGACGCUGAGGCGCGAAAGCGUGGGGAGCAAACAGGAUUAGAUACCCUGGUAGUCCACGCCGUAAACGAUGAGUGCUAAGUGUUAGGGGGUUUCCGCCCCUUAGUGCUGCAGCUAACGCAUUAAGCACUCCGCCUGGGGAGUACGGCCGCAGGGCUA
rnacentral:rRNA from 1 species